AUAAUGGAUGGAAUAGUAGAAAUCUGGAUAAUGGAUGGAAUAGUGGUUGGAAUGGCGGACAUCUGACAGGGGGAUUAAAUGGCGGAUAUCGAAGACACAAAAGAGCAGCUACUGGAUACGGCUCAUAUGAUCCAUACAGAAGCAGUCAUUUUGACAGUGGAUUAGGACGGUUGGACAGAUGGGGAACAAAUUCAGGAAGGAGAUCUAAUUUAGGAUGGAGAUCUAAUUCAAGAUGGAGUCAGCUAGGAUAUUAAGAAAGACGAGGACACAAGGAGUACAUUACAACAUCUUAACAUGACAUCGAUCAUCCGUAGAUUUUUACUUUUUCAAAUAAAAUGUGUGAACUUAA